CCCCAGACCCCCAGAGAGGUGGCCUGAAGAGGGUGCCCUGUCAGGCUGAGGCACUCUAGGCUCUGGCUUGGGGGUGAGCGGGUGGCCCAGGAGCUGCCACCUGGGCUCCGGGUCUGUCUUUUGAGUCUGUGCUGUUCGCUGGUCAGAAAAGCUCAAACCAUCUAAGUGCUGCGCUCUCUCUUCACCCGCCCGGUCCCUGCGCACUGCAGAGCGGCGCGAGGUUAAGGGAGACCAGGGGCCGCGAUCGCCCGCUUCACCCCUGCCCCCAAUUAUCAAAAUCUGCCUCUUGGGCUCAGCUCUCAACAUGGGCGCCCCUGGUUCCUAAGAAACCCCAUUCUCCCUCGGCCCUAGUCCUGACCCAGCAAAGAGUUGGGCAGUGCCCGCUCUGCACCUCUUUCCUCCACAGGGGUUUCCAGAGCCCCCCAGGAGGCGGUGCCUAUACCACUGACCUCAGCCCAGGGCACCCAUCCAAGCAGGAGAGGCGCAUAAGACCUCCCUUCCCCAGGAUUCCGGGGGUCCAGAACCCCCCAAGCACCAGCAUUCUCCCCCUCCCAUCAACUCCGGGCCACAGGCCCCUGGUGGGAAGGGAGGGACCGGGUGACCCGGAGCUGGCCGCUGUGGCCUCCCCAUGCGGGCAGCAUGGCCUCGGUGGCCAGUGUGGUGUCCAGAAGAUGCAUGGUCGGUUGGGGCUUGUCCCCUCUGUGGUGACAGAGGACGCCACGGAGCUCAGGAGAGGAGGCUGUGGGGGGGAUAGGAAGGGCCAGGCCCCUACCCCAAGCCAGCGGUACCAUUUGCCUGAUAAUCAAAGAUGAACCUGCCCACCCACCUCCUGCCCCUUCUGGCCACACUUCCCAGCCACCCUGGGCCACCUUUCUGGGCCUCUGGAUCUGGAUGUGGGCACAAGCAGGGCCCUUCCCAGCCCCAGCUAAGAGAGGGGACCUUGGGGACCUUCCAGGUGGUAGCGCUACGGCUCUGGGCCAGGAAUUUUUGACGCUCCUUCCUGAGGGAAAAUUGUGGCAGGGCGGCGGGUAGGAAGGAAGCACCCCCAGUGUAUGUGUCUGUGGCCAGUGCAGGCCAUGGCUGGGGAGCAGCCCCCUGGGCACCGCCGUCACGGCCGCCGAGAAGCGGAGCCGGUGGUUGGCUUGGCAGGCGGAGCUUGGGGGAGGACGACGGGCUCUCCCAGCGGUGGAAAGACAGGGGCUUGGGCUCUGCAGGUUUCCUGGGUACUGUGCUGAGGCAGGGGCUAGGCCUGGAGGGGGCAGUGGCCCUCUAUUCAAGGAGGCCGCCUGGGAAGGGAGCCACCAAGAUGGCGCAUGUUGGUCAACCAAGAUGGCAGACGGUGGUCAGCCCAGCAGAGGGUGGGCUUGGGAAGAGUGAACGGGACUUGUGAGGGGAGACGAGCCCUGGUAUAGCUAGAUACCUUUUCUCACACGCCAGCUCUUUUCCAUUCUUUCAUUUUCAAAUUAGAGGCAGCAAAAGGACCCUUUUCCAUUGACCGAGGGAGAGAGAAAGCUGCGGGGUGGGCUAUGGCCUUCAGCUUUGAAACCCACGCCCUCCUGGGACGCCUACUUUCUUGGGACGGAAGGCUGGGAGCUGUUGGCCGAGGCAGCCUGCUGUCCUUGGGGCUGAGGGCACCAGGAGUGGCCUGGAGUACAGGUAGAAGCCUGCGGGCGGCCUGGCCCCUGCUUUCGUGGGCAGCCUGGUGGGGAGGGAGCUCAUGGCUCUCGGUUCUCGGUGCGGGAGGCUGUGAACGCGGCAAGUGCUGGGCGUCAGAGCAGUGUUCUGAGCAGGAUCACACGUGUGUGUAUACGCACACGUGAGUGUGCGCUGUGACACGCACUGUAGUGUGGACUCGAGCACACACGUGCAGAGCCCAGAUCCGAGUGGAGGGACUGGCUCGUCCAGUAUUUCGAGGCCUGGGUACGUUCUUACCCCAGGGCCACAUGUAGAGUUGAAGGGGUGCGGGCAGCAGACCUCGAACGCAAGGCAGCCCCACCCCCCUUGACUUUGCUAAAACUGCUCUGCGGACAGACGGGGCAGAGGUGUCCCUGCAGGGGCUGUGCUCUGCCCUGCAGAGGCCUGGAGGUCCUUGCAGCCAAGGGCUAGACCUGCUGGGCGGACUCCUCAGAAGCAGCCAAUCCUGAAGACAGUAUUUACAGGGAGGGGUUCUGGGGGCUGGUGCCCCUUUGCCUACUGGGGCUCGUCCAUGCAGAGCAUCCAACAAAGUUGGAAACCGGAGUGGAGGGCCGGUGGGGUGGGUGAAAAACAGGCCAAAUUCAGGUCCCAAGGCAGAGGCCAAGCCCAGUGCAUUUUCCUGUCCACUGCUUCAGUUUACCUGUUCAGAAAAUGGUCCAGGAAGAGCUGGGCAGGGUUGGCUCCAAAACUGGGGGUGGGGAGGUGUAACAGCAAACAAAACCCCGAGCCCUCCACUUGCUCUUUGCCAAAAUCAUUUCCGUUAUCGUGAGAUGGGGGUGAGUGGAUGCUGGCUGCACAGCAGGGCUCAGAGGGGCCUCUGCCCUGCCCAGGGUUUCGCCUUGGGGGUCUGGCCCUCCCCUGGCAUACGCCCCGGGUCACCAGCAGUAGCAGCGGCACAUGCAUCUGUCCCAAGGUCUGGGCGAGGGGAGAACAGGGCAGCCCCGUACCCCAGGCCCUCACACUUUCUUUCUUUCUUGAAAAAACACAAAACCCUUGAGAUUCAUGUACUGUAUGACAGAGAGAAAAAAAGUACCUAAUGUUCCCCCCAAAAAAGACAGUAUAUUUUGUACUUUGUAAAGUGUUCAUUAAAAUGGAAGAAAAAAAUGAUGUUGGCUGACGGCUGUCUGAUUUUGUGCUGAUCCAGGGCUAUGUCUCAUCUCUCUCCCUUCUCAUACCGUGGGUGGGGGAACAUUAGGCCAGGAGCUGGGAGGAGCCAAAGCAAGAAUCCGAGAGAGGAAAUAAAUAGCCCUGAGAACGCGAGGGGCUGUAUUAGUUACCCAGUGCUGCAUAACAAGUGGCCCCAAAAUGUAAGGCUUAAAAUGAUUAUUUGUGUGUCCUGGUUUUGGUGGGUUAGGAAUUUGGGAGCCGUGUGAGCAGCUUGGGCUCAGAGUCUCUCAAGAGGCUGCAGGCAUCUGAAGCUCGGCUGGGGCUAGAGGGUCUAUUUCCAAGGUGCUUAAUCCACAUGACUGGCGAGGUGGGCCUGGCUGUCGGCAGGAAGCCUGUUCCUCUCCACGUGGGUCUCUGCUGCUUGAGUGUCCUCGUCAUAUGGCGCCUGGCUUCCCCUAGAGCAAGGGAUUCAAGGACCGAGCCCAGCUCUGAUUUGACCGUGGAGGAGACCACACAGGGGUGUGAAAACCAAGAGGUCAAGGAUGGUGCCAGACCUUGUGCCCGGGGCUGGAGACCCAGAUGACGCUGCCGUGGCCCCUGCGCCUGAGUUGCUCCAGGAGGUGUAAAGAUGUGAAAACAGGCUCUCCCAGGGAUUGCAGUGCCAGGCUCCACCACAAGGGGAUGCUGUGCCCUGGGGCCAUGACCACUGUCCGGCAGUAGGAGGAACAAGAAGCCAGGACGUUAGGGUUGAGCUUGGUCCUGGCAUAUGGAGGGUGCUCCGGAGAAUGUACCCCAUCAGCCUCUGCUCUUCAACGUUCCCCCACUGGAAUGAAGGUCAACUGCAGCUAUGGGACAGCUUACGGGCAUUUUCUGAUGGGCAUGGCUUCAUGUCCUCUACUCUCUGGUCUCCUGGCACUUGUGCUGCCACCAGGCUUCCAGAGCGAUGGCAAGACUAAGCUACUCUACCCUCCAGCCCCGUGGGCCAGCCCCGCCCCCACCAGCUACAUCUCACCUGUUUGCCUCCUUGGCAAGAGAGUGGACUCCUGGUUUGAGGAGGUGACCACGGUAUCUGGAUUUAUCCUUGUACAUGUGACUGCUGAGCACGCACCUCAGUGUGGCCCCAAAUCUGAGAAAAGACAUCUUAGAAGGACUCCAAACAUUGUCUCAGCUCAAGCUUAAUCUAUCUGGCUGUUGCUCCAGGUUAAAUAGCAAGGUUCGUGUGGAAGAAAGGCCGGGAUUUCUUGAUCAAUGCAAUCUGAG